UACAGAGGUCUCAAGCGUUGUUCGGAUUCAUUGGGCGUAAAGGGUGCGUAGGCGGUGCGGUAAGUCGGGUGUGAAAUUUCGAGGCUUAACUUCGAAACUGCAUUCGAUACUGCCGUGCUAGAGGACUGGAGAGGAGACUGGAAUUUACGGUGUAGCGGUGAAAUGCGUAGAUAUCGUAAGGAAGACCAGUGGCGAAGGCGGGUCUCUGGACAGUUCCUGACGCUGAGGCACGAAGGCCAGGGGAGCAAACGGG
rnacentral:rRNA from 1 species